rnacentral:rRNA from 1 species
UACGUAGGGUCCGAGCGUUGUCCGGAAUUAUUGGGCGUAAAGGGCUCGUAGGCGGUCUGUUGCGUCGGGAGUGAAAACUUACAGCUUAACUGUGAGCGUGCUUCCGAUACGGGCAGACUUGAGGUAUUCAGGGGAGAACGGAAUUCCUGGUGUAGCGGUGAAAUGCGUAGAUAUCGGGAGGAACACCAGCGGCGAAGGCGGCUUUCUGGACCAAUACUGACGCUGAGACGCGAAAGCGUGGGGAGCAAACAGG